CCGGAACCACAUCUGCUCCUCCAGAGCGUAACAGGUAACAGUCCCUUCUUUGGAUGCAGUUAACUAUGAUGCAACAGAAGAGAUAUGUGCCUAGAUACGAAUUCACAACAUGUAGCCUCCGCUCGGUUGAUGAUUAGACUUUAUACUAAAGGAAUAAAAGCAGCAGAGGUGUUGGGUGUUUUUAGCAUUCUCACUCUCACAGCAUUGCUCAGAGUCCAGGCUGAUGAUAAUCUGGGCUGAGAAGCAGAAAGACUCAGUCCCCAGCUGUCCACGGCCCCUCUCAGUACUGUAUGGAAUAGGUAUGCCUCUCAGUGUUUUCCAAUGAUAGCUGUAGCCCUGUCCUGGCCAACUGGUCAGCUGAGCUACCCUUUGCACAGAUGUAUGUGGGAUAGUCUUGGAGCCUAUCCUGUGUACGUGGGAUAGUCUCGGAGCCUAUCCUAUACCACAAGCAGCUUUGGAAUAAACAUCCUCUUUGGUGUGGAAUGAGAGCUUAGUCAUCCAAGGAAAAAAUGCGAAAAGAGGGAGGAAAUGAUUACCUCUGCUUCUUAAAAUCUUUUUGAAUGAACAUGGGUGGAACUGGAAGCGAUUAUCCUCAGCAAACUCAUGCAGGAACAGAAAACCAAAUACCACACGUUCUCACUUAUAAGUGGAGGCUAAAUGAGGAGAACACACUGGGGGCAACACCAGACACUGGGGCCUAACAGAUGAUGGAAGGUGGGAGGAGGGAUAGGAUCAGGAAAAAUAAUUAAUAGCUACUAGGCUGAGUACCUGGGUGAUGAAAUAAUCUGUACAACAAACCCCCUAUCACACGAGUUUACCUAUACAACAAACCUGCACAUGCACCCCUGAACUUAAAAUAAAAGUUAAGAAAAAAACACAGAAUAUUGCUAUCAGUGAAAAUCCUUUUUUGACACCACUAGUAAUUAAACUCAUUGAAUUUACAUUCCAACUGGGGUAAUGAAUCACUUCCUCAUCC
rnacentral:lncRNA from 1 species